ACAUGCAAGUCGAACGCCAUCUUCGGAUGGAGUGGCAGACGGUGAGUAACGCGUGGGAACGUACCCUUUGGUUCGGAAUAUUCUCGGGAAACUGGGAGCAAUACCGGAUAAGCCCUACGGGGGAAAGAUUUAUCGCCAAAGGAGCGGCCCGCGUCAGAUUAGGUAGUUGGUGGGUAAAGGCCUACCAAGCCUACGAUCUGUAGCUGGUCUGAGAGGACGAUCAGACACACUGGAACUGAGACACGGUCCAGACUCCUACGGGAGGCAGCAGUGGGGAAUUUUGGACAAUGGGGGAAACCCUGAUCCAGCAAUGCCGCGUGAGUGAAGAAGGCCUUCGGGUUGUAAAGCUCUUUUGUCAGGGAAGAAACACCGGCUCUAACACAGUCCGGGAAUGACGGUACCUGAAGAAUAAGCACCGGCUAACUACGUG
rnacentral:rRNA from 1 species